AUUGAACGCUGGCGGCAGGCCUAACACAUGCAAGUCGAGCGGUAGAGAGAAGCUUGCUUCUCUUGAGAGCGGCGGACGGGUGAGUAAUGCCUAGGAAUCUGCCUGGUAGUGGGGGAUAACGUUCGGAAACGGACGCUAAUACCGCAUACGUCCUACGGGAGAAAGCAGGGGACCUUCGGGCCUUGCGCUAUCAGAUGAGCCUAGGUCGGAUUAGCUAGUUGGUGGGGUAAUGGCUCACCAAGGCGACGAUCCGUAACUGGUCUGAGAGGAUGAUCAGUCACACCGGAACUGAGACACGGUCCAGACUCCUACGGGAGGCAGCAGUGGGGAAUAUUGGACAAUGGGCGAAAGCCUGAUCCAGCCAUGCCGCGUGUGUGAAGAAGGUCUUCGGAUUGUAAAGCACUUUAAGUUGGGAGGAAGGGCAGUAAAUUAAUACUUUGCUGUUUUGACGUUACCGACAGAAUAAGCACCGGCUAACUCUGUGCCAGCAGCCGCCGUAA
rnacentral:rRNA from 1 species